rnacentral:rRNA from 1 species
CCGCUCAGAUUGAACGCUGGCGGCAUGCCUUACACAUGCAAGUCGAACGGCAGCACGGGCUGCUUGCACCUGGAUGGCGAGUGGCGAACGGGGUGAGUAAUACAUCGGAACAUGUCCUGUAGUGGGGGAUAGCCCGGCGAAAGCCGGAUUAAUACCGCAUACGAUCUACGGAUGAAAGCGGGGGACCUUCGGGCCUCGCGCUAUAGGGUUGGCCGAUGGCUGAUUAGCUAGUUGGUGGGGUAAAGGCCUACCAAGGCGACGAUCAGUAGCUGGUCUGAGAGGACGACCAGCCACACUGGGACUGAGACACGGCCCAGACUCCUACGGGAGGCAGCAGUGGGGAAUUUUGGACAAUGGGCGAAAGCCUGAUCCAGCAAUGCCGCGUGUGUGAAGAAGGCCUUCGGGUUGUAAAGCACUUUUGUCCGGAAAGAAAUCCUUGGCUCUAAUACAGUCGGGGGAUGACGGUACCGGAAGAAUAAGCACCGGCUAACUACGUGCCAGCAGCCGCGGUAAUACGUAGGGUGCGAGCGUUAAUCGGAAUUACUGGGCGUAAAGCGUGCGCAGGCGGUUUGCUAAGACCGAUGUGAAAUCCCCGGGCUCAACCUGGGAACUGCAUUGGUGACUGGCAGGCUAGAGUAUGGCAGAGGGGGGUAGAAUUCCACGUGUAGCAGUGAAAUGCGUAGAGAUGUGGAGGAAUACCGAUGGCGAAGGCAGCCCCCUGGGCCAAUACUACGUCAUCACAAAG